GAGAGGUGGCUGAGUGGUUGAAAGCGCUCCCCUGCUAAGGGAGUAUAGGAUAAUCUCCUAUCGAGGGUUCGAAUCCCUCCCUCUCC
rnacentral:tRNA from 1 species